ensembl:lncRNA
CCUGGAUUGAGUGAGGUACGUGUCCACAGCAGUGCAAUGUUAACUUUAAAUAUACCUGUUCUAACUUUAGUUUUAGUGCAUAUGGUAACUUGUAUAUGUAUUCCAGGAUGAGUGCACUUAUAUUUAGUCAUGUUUUGUCGAGAACAUUUAUGUUUUAUGAGUUUAGAUUGUUAACGUAGCCCUAUCUUCGUGUAGUAUAGCCCAAAUGUUUCAGUUGUCCUUUUUCUUGCGUUAGGCUAGCUCAAUCCAUGAAGAUGGAGUCCUGAAUCUUUGUUCUCAUUGAAAUUGUACAGGUCCGUGUCCUUUUAACUCACUAGCCUAUAAUUCCUGUUAUCCUGCAAAGAAAUGUCCCUCCAACACACGG